rnacentral:tRNA from 1 species
UAAAUUUUAAGUUAUAUAAACUAAGAACCUUCAAAGUUCUAAAAAAGAGUUUUCUUAAAUUUAA